UACGUAGGCAGCGAGCGUUGUUCGGAGUUACUGGGCGUAAAGAGUGCGUAGGCGGUUGGCUAAGUUUGGUGUGAAAUCUCCCGGCUCAACUGGGAGGGUGCGCCGAAAACUGGCUGGCUGGAGUGUGGGAGAGGCUAGCGGAAUUCCUGGUGUAGCGGUGAAAUGCGUAGAUAUCAGGAGGAACACCUGCGGUGUAGACGGCUGGCUGGACCACUACUGACGCUGAGGCACGAAAGCGUGGGGGAGCAAACAGG
rnacentral:rRNA from 1 species